rnacentral:rRNA from 1 species
GAUGAACGCUAGCUACAGGCUUAACACAUGCAAGUCGAGGGACCGGCGCACGGGUGAGUAACACGUAUCCAACCUGCCCCUUACUCGGGGAUAGCCUUUCGAAAGAAAGAUUAAUACCCGAUAUAAAGGAUGGGGAUGCGUUCCUGUAGGUUGUUGUUGAGGUAACGGCUAACCAAGCCGUCGAUGGAUAGGGGUUCUGAGAGGAAGGUCCCCCACAGUGGAAAUGAGACACGGUACAAACUCUUACGGGAGGCAGCAGUGAGGAAGAUUGGUCAAUGUGCGCUAGCCUGAACCAGCCAAGUAGCGUGAAGGAUGAAGGCUUAUGGGUCGUAAACUUCUUGUAUAUAAGAAUAUGUAUUAAAUGAAUAAGGAUCGGCUAACUCCGUGCCAGCCGCCGCGGUAAUUC